rnacentral:piRNA from 1 species
UAAAAGCCCAUACCAGUUUCUUUUGUUAGUGU